UACGGGGGGGGCAAGCGUUGUUCGGAAUUACUGGGCGUAAAGGGCUCGUAGGUGGCCAACUAAGUCAGACGUGAAAUCCCUCGGCUUAACCGGGGGAACUGCGUCUGAUACUGGAUGGCUUGAGUUUGGGAGAGGGACGCGGAAUUCCAGGUGUAGCGGUGGAAAUGACGUAGAUAUCUGGAGGAACACCGGUGGCGAAGGCGGCAUCCUGGACCGAUACUGACGCUGAGGAGCGAAAGCCAGGGGAGCAAAGCGGGG
rnacentral:rRNA from 1 species